rnacentral:rRNA from 14 species
AACGAACGCUGGCGGCAGGCCUAACACAUGCAAGUCGAGCGCACCUUCGGGUGAGCGGCGGACGGGUUAGUAACGCGUGGGAACGUACCCUUUUCUACGGAAUAGCCUUUGGAAACGAAGAGUAAUACCGUAUACGCCCUUUGGGGGAAAGAUUUAUCGGAGAAGGAUCGGCCCGCGUUAGAUUAGAUAGUUGGUGGGGUAACGGCCUACCAAGUCUACGAUCUAUAGCUGGUUUUAGAGGAUGAUCAGCAACACUGGGACUGAGACACGGCCCAGACUCCUACGGGAGGCAGCAGUGGGGAAUCUUAGACAAUGGGCGCAAGCCUGAUCUAGCCAUGCCGCGUGAGUGAUGAAGGCCUUAGGGUCGUAAAGCUCUUUCGCCUGUGAUGAUAAUGACAGUAGCAGGUAAAGAAACCCCGGCUAACUCCGUGCCAGCAGCCGCGGUAAUACGGAGGGGGUUAGCGUUGUUCGGAAUUACUGGGCGUAAAGCGCACGUAGGCGGAUUGGAAAGUUGGGGGUGAAAUCCCGGGGCUCAACCCCGGAACUGCCUCCAAAACUAUCAGUCUAGAGUUCGAGAGAGGUGAGUGGAAUUCCAAGUGUAGAGGUGAAAUUCGUAGAUAUUUGGAGGAACACCAGUGGCGAAGGCGGCUCACUGGCUCGAUACUGACGCUGAG